rnacentral:rRNA from 1 species
CGGACGGGUGAGUAACACGUGGAUAACCUACCUAUAAGACUGGGAUAACUUCGGGAAACCGGAGCUAAUACCGGAUAAUAUAUUGAACCGCAUGGUUCAAUGGUGAAAGACGGUUUUGCUGUCACUUAUAGAUGGAUCCGCGCCGCAUUAGCUAGUUGGUAAGGUAACGGCUUACCAAGGCAACGAUGCGUAGCCGACCUGAGAGGGUGAUCGGCCACACUGGAACUGAGACACGGUCCAGACUCCUACGGGGAGGCAGCAGCU